GAUUAAGUUAUUAAGGGCGCACGGUGGAUGCCUUGGCACUAGAAGCCGAUGAAGGACGUUACUAACGACGAUAUGCUUUGGGGAGCUGUAAGUAAGCUUUGAUCCAGAGAUUUCCGAAUGGGGAAACCCAGCAUGAGUUAUGUCAUGUUAUCGAUAUGUGAAUACAUAGCAUAUCAGAAGGCACACCCGGAGAACUGAAACAUCUUAGUACCCGGAGGAAGAGAAAGAAAAUUCGAUUCCCUUAGUAGCGGCGAGCGAAACGGGAAGAGCCCAAACCAACAAGCUUGCUUGUUGGGGUUGUAGGACACUCUAUACGGAGUUACAAAGGACGACAUUAGACGAAUCAUCUGGAAAGAUGAAUCAAAGAAGGUAAUAAUCCUGUAGUCGAAAAUGUUGUCUCUCUUGAGUGGAUCCUGAGUACGACGGAGCACGUGAAAUUCCGUCGGAAUCUGGGAGGACCAUCUCCUAAGGCUAAAUACUCUCUAGUGACCGAUAGUGAACCAGUACCGUGAGGGAAAGGUGAAAAGCACCCCGGAAGGGGAGUGAAAUAGAACCUGAAACCGUGUGCUUACAAGUAGUCAAAGCCCGUUAAUGGGUGAUGGCGUGCCUUUUGUAGAAUGAACCGGCGAGUUACGAUUUGAUGCAAGGUUAAGCAGUAAAUGUGGAGCCGUAGCGAAAGCGAGUCUGAAUAGGGCGUUUAGUAUUUGGUCGUAGACCCGAAACCAGGUGAUCUACCCUUGGUCAGGUUGAAGUUCAGGUAACACUGAAUGGAGGACCGAACCGACUUACGUUGAAAAGUGAGCGGAUGAACUGAGGGUAGCGGAGAAAUUCCAAUCGAACCUGGAGAUAGCUGGUUCUCUCCGAAAUAGCUUUAGGGCUAGCCUCAAGUGAUGAUUAUUGGAGGUAGAGCACUGUUUGGACGAGGGGCCCCUCUCGGGUUACCGAAUUCAGACAAACUCCGAAUGCCAAUUAAUUUAACUUGGGAGUCAGAACAUGGGUGAUAAGGUCCGUGUUCGAAAGGGAAACAGCCCAGACCACCAGCUAAGGUCCCAAAAUAUAUGUUAAGUGGAAAAGGAUGUGGCGUUGCCCAGACAACUAGGAUGUUGGCUUAGAAGCAGCCAUCAUUUAAAGAGUGCGUAAUAGCUCACUAGUCGAGUGACACUGCGCCGAAAAUGUACCGGGGCUAAACAUAUUACCGAAGCUGUGGAUUGUCCUUUGGACAAUGGUAGGAGAGCGUUCUAAGGGCGUUGAAGCAUGAUCGUAAGGACAUGUGGAGCGCUUAGAAGUGAGAAUGCCGGUGUGAGUAGCGAAAGACGGGUGAGAAUCCCGUCCACCGAUUGACUAAGGUUUCCAGAGGAAGGCUCGUCCGCUCUGGGUUAGUCGGGUCCUAAGCUGAGGCCGACAGGCGUAGGCGAUGGAUAACAGGUUGAUAUUCCUGUACCACCUAUAAUCGUUUUAAUCGAUGGGGGGACGCAGUAGGAUAGGCGAAGCGUGCGAUUGGAUUGCACGUCUAAGCAGUAAGGCUGAGUAUUAGGCAAAUCCGGUACUCGUUAAGGCUGAGCUGUGAUGGGGAGAAGACAUUGUGUCUUCGAGUCGUUGAUUUCACACUGCCGAGAAAAGCCUCUAGAUAGAAAAUAGGUGCCCGUACCGCAAACCGACACAGGUAGUCAAGAUGAGAAUUCUAAGGUGAGCGAGCGAACUCUCGUUAAGGAACUCGGCAAAAUGACCCCGUAACUUCGGGAGAAGGGGUGCUCUUUAGGGUUAACGCCCAGAAGAGCCGCAGUGAAUAGGCCCAAGCGACUGUUUAUCAAAAACACAGGUCUCUGCUAAACCGUAAGGUGAUGUAUAGGGGCUGACGCCUGCCCGGUGCUGGAAGGUUAAGAGGAGUGGUUAGCUUCUGCGAAGCUACGAAUCGAAGCCCCAGUAAACGGCGGCCGUAACUAUAACGGUCCUAAGGUAGCGAAAUUCCUUGUCGGGUAAGUUCCGACCCGCACGAAAGGCGUAACGAUUUGGGCACUGUCUCAACGAGAGACUCGGUGAAAUCAUAGUACCUGUGAAGAUGCAGGUUACCCGCGACAGGACGGAAAGACCCCGUGGAGCUUUACUGUAGCCUGAUAUUGAAAUUCGGCACAGCUUGUACAGGAUAGGUAGGAGCCUUUGAAACGUGAGCGCUAGCUUACGUGGAGGCGCUGGUGGGAUACUACCCUAGCUGUGUUGGCUUUCUAACCCGCACCACUUAUCGUGGUGGGAGACAGUGUCAGGCGGGCAGUUUGACUGGGGCGGUCGCCUCCUAAAAGGUAACGGAGGCGCUCAAAGGUUCCCUCAGAAUGGUUGGAAAUCAUUCAUAGAGUGUAAAGGCAUAAGGGAGCUUGACUGCGAGACCUACAAGUCGAGCAGGGUCGAAAGACGGACUUAGUGAUCCGGUGGUUCCGCAUGGAAGGGCCAUCGCUCAACGGAUAAAAGCUACCCCGGGGAUAACAGGCUUAUCUCCCCCAAGAGUUCACAUCGACGGGGAGGUUUGGCACCUCGAUGUCGGCUCAUCGCAUCCUGGGGCUGUAGUCGGUCCCAAGGGUUGGGCUGUUCGCCCAUUAAAGCGGUACGCGAGCUGGGUUCAGAACGUCGUGAGACAGUUCGGUCCCUAUCCGUCGUGGGCGUAGGAAAUUUGAGAGGAGCUGUCCUUAGUACGAGAGGACCGGGAUGGACAUACCUCUGGUGUACCAGUUGUCGUGCCAACGGCAUAGCUGGGUAGCUAUGUGUGGACGGGAUAAGUGCUGAAAGCAUCUAAGCAUGAAGCCCCCCUCAAGAUGAGAUUUCCCAACUUCGGUUAUAAGAUCCCUCAAAGAUGAUGAGGUUAAUAGGUUCGAGGUGGAAGCAUGGUGACAUGUGGAGCUGACGAAUACUAAUCGAUCGAAGACUUAAUCAA
rnacentral:rRNA from 1 species